GAAGUGGUGGCUCAGUGGUAGAAUUCUUGCUUUCCAUGCCAGAGACCCGGAUUCGAUUUCCAGCCAAUGUA
rnacentral:tRNA from 1 species